rnacentral:rRNA from 1 species
AUUGAACGCUGGCGGCAUGCUUUACACAUGCAAGUCGAACGGUAACAGGCCGCAAGGUGCUGACGAGUGGCGAACGGGUGAGUAAUGCAUCGGAACGUGCCCAGUCGUGGGGGAUAACGCAGCGAAAGCUGCGCUAAUACCGCAUACGAUCUCUGGAUGAAAGCGGGGGACCGAAAGGCCUCGCGCGAUUGGAGCGGCCGAUGUCAGAUUAGGUAGUUGGUGGGGUAAAGGCUCACCAAGCCAACGAUCUGUAGCUGGUCUGAGAGGACGACCAGCCACACUGGGACUGAGACACGGCACAGACUCCGACGGGAGGCAGCAGUGGGGAAUUUUGGACAAUGGGCGCAAGCCUGAUCCAGCAAUGCCGCGUGCAGGAAGAAGGCCUUCGGGUUGUAAACUGCUUUUGUACGGAACGAAACGGUCCUGGUUAAUACCUGGGGCUAAUGACGGUACCGUAAGAAUAAGCACCGGCUAACUACGUGCCAGCCGCCGCCGUAAGAC